UGGGGAAUUUUGGACAAUGGGGGCAACCCUGAUCCAGCAAUGCCGCGUGAGUGAAGAAGGCCCUCGGGUUGUAAAGCUCUUUUGUCAGGGAAGAAAAGGCUGUGGCUAAUAUCCACAGCUGCUGACGGUACCUGAAGAAUAAGCACCGGCUAACUACGUGCCAGCAGCCGCGGUAAUACGUAGGGUGCAAGCGUUAAUCGGAAUUACUGGGCGUAAAGCGUGCGCAGGCGGUUUUAUAAGUCUGAUGUGAAAUCCCCGGGCUCAACCUGGGAACUGCAUUGGAGACUGUAAGGCUAGAGUGUGUCAGAGGGGGGUAGAAUUCCACGUGUAGCAGUGAAAUGCGUAGAUAUGUGGAGGAAUACCGAUGGCGAAGGCAGCCCCCUGGGAUAACACUGACGCUCAUGCACGAAAGCGUGGGGAGCAAACA
rnacentral:rRNA from 1 species